rnacentral:rRNA from 1 species
GAGGACGACGCGUGGCGGCGUGCCUAACACAUGCAAGUCGAGCGGGGUUGAGGCGAGAGGUAACUCGAACUUCUACCUAGCGGCGGACGGGUGAGUAACGCGUGGGCAACCUGCCUCAAGGUUUGGGAUAACAGCCCGAAAGGGCUGCUAAUACCGGAUAUGCCUAUGGCCUCGCAUGGGGCUAUGAGCAAAGGGGAAACCCGCCUUGAGAUGGGCCCGCGUCCCAUCAGCUAGUUGGUGAGGUAACAGCUCACCAAGGCGACGACGGGUAGCCGGCCUGAGAGGGUGACCGGCCACACUGGGACUGAGACACGGCCCAGACUCCUACGGGGGGCAGCAGUGGGGGAUCUUGCACAAUGGGCGAAAGCCUGAUGCAGCGACGCCGCGUGAGCGAAGAAGGCCUUAGGGUUGUAAAGCUCUGUUCUAUGGGACGAAGUCCUUGACUGUGAAUAAUGGUCAAGGUUGACGGUACCAUAGGAGGAAGCCCCGGCUAACUACGUG